rnacentral:rRNA from 1 species
CGGAUGAACGCUGGCGGCGUGCUUAAUACAUGCAAGUCGAACGAUAAGGUCUCUUCGGAGAUACAUAAGUGGCGGACGGGUGAGUAACACGUAGGAAAUCUGCCUCAAGGAGGGGGAUAACACCGGGAAACUGGUGCUAAUACCCCAUAUGUCAUAGAUUGAAAUAUCUAUGAUGAAAGUUCCGGCGCCUUGAGAUGAGCCUGCGUCUGAUUAGCUAGUUGGUGGGGUAAUUGCCUACCAAGGCGACGAUCAGUAGCUGGUCUGAGAGGAUGAUCAGCCACAAUGGGACUGAGACACGGCCCAUACUCCUACGGGAGGCAGCAGUAGGGAAUUUUGCGCAAUGGGCGAAAGCCUGACGCAGCAACACCGCGUGAGGGAUGAAGUUCUUUGGAGCGUAAACCUCUGUCAGUGGGGACGAAUUUUGACGGUACCCACAAAGGAAGCAUCGGCUAACUACGUG